rnacentral:tRNA from 1 species
GUGGAUGUAGCUCAAUGGUGGAGCACCUGACUGUGGAUCAGGAGGCUGCGGGUUCAAGCCCCGUCAUCCACC